UACGGGGGGGGCAAGCGUUGUUCGGAAUUACUGGGCGUAAAGGGCUCGUAGGCGGCCAACUAAGUCAGACGUGAAAUCCCUCAGCUUAACUGGGGAACUGCGUCUGAUACUGGAUGGCUAGAGUGUGGGAGAGGGAUGCGGAAUCCCAGGUGUAGCGGUGAAAUGCGCAGAUAUCUGGAGGAACACCGGUGGCGAAGGCGGCGUCCUGGACCAACACUGACACUGAGGAGCGAAAGCCAGGGGAGCAAACGGG
rnacentral:rRNA from 1 species